AUUGAACGCUGGCGGUAUGCUUAACACAUGCAAGUCGAACGGCAGCAUGGUCUAGCUUGCUAGACUGAUGGCGAGUGGCGGACGGGUGAGUAACGCGUAGGAAUAUGCCUUGAAGAGUGGGACAACUUGGGGAAACUCAAGCUAAUACCGCAUGUACUCGAGAGAGUAAAGCUGGGGACCUUUAGGCCUGGCGCUUUAAGAUUAGCCUGCGUCCGAUUAGCUAGUUGGUAGGGUAAAGGCCUACCAAGGCGACGAUCGGUAGCUGGUCUGAGAGGAUGAUCAGCCACACUGGAACUGAGAGACGGUCCAGACUCCUACGGGAGGCAGCAGUGGGGAAUGUUGGACAAUGGGGGGAACCCUGAUCCAGCAAUGCCGCGUGUGUGAAGAAGGCCUGAGGGUUGUAAAGCACUUUCGGUGGGGAGGAGGUUUGGAAGGUUAAGAGCUAUUCAAAUGGACGUUACCCACAGAAGAAGCACCGGCUAACUCCGUGCCAGCCGCCGCAGUAA
rnacentral:rRNA from 1 species